rnacentral:tRNA from 1 species
UAUAUUUUAGUGUAAAAGCACAUUAAUUUUUGAUAUUUUUAGAAAUAGAUUAAUCUAUUAAAUAUAA